GAGGAAUCCUCCGAUUGCGCCUGUGCGUCGCGCUCGGCUUCUCCCCUCCCUUGGUAACGCUCUUCUCUCCUCCCACUCGCGUACCUGGGUAUCCCUUCAACUGGCGGCCGCUCGCCUUAGCCUUUCUCCGGGAUCGGCGUAGCCGCUGCCAUGCAAGGAGAGGAUGCCCGCUACCUCAAAAGAAAAGUAAAAGGAGGAAACAUAGACGUACAUCCUUCGGAAAAGGCACUUAUUGUUCACUAUGAAGUGGAAGCUACAAUUCUUGGGGAGAUGGGAGAUCCUAUGCUGGGAGAGCGCAAGGAGUGUCAAAAAAUCAUUCGGUUGAAGAGUCUCAAUGCAAAUACAGAUAUUUCUUCCCUGGCUCGGAAGGUGGUGGAGGAAUGCAAGCUUAUUCACCCCUCCAAACUAGCUGAAGUGGAACAAUUGCUGUACUACCUGCAGAACCGCAGGGAUACCUCUUCAGCAAAAGAGAAAAAAGAGAAAUCGAAUAAGCCAAAAGAUCCACCACCUUUUGAAGGGAUGGAGAUUGACGAAGUCGCCAAUAUCAAUGACAUGGAUGAAUACAUAGAACUGCUAUAUGAAGAUAUUCCUGAUAAGGUGCGUGGCUCAGCACUCAUUCUUCAGCUGGCCAGGAAUCCUGAUAAUCUGGAAGAAUUGCUGCUUAAUGAAACUGCACUUGGUGCUUUGGCCAGAGUGCUAAGAGAAGACUGGAAACAAAGUGUAGAACUUGCUACUAAUAUAAUUUAUAUAUUUUUCUGCUUCUCAAGCUUUUCUCAGUUUCAUGGACUCAUUACACACUACAAAAUUGGAGCUCUCUGUAUGAACAUCAUUGAUCAUGAGCUGAAGAGACAUGAGCUUUGGCAGGAAGAACUCACCAAGAAGAAGAAAGCUGUUGAUGAAGACCCUGAUAAUCAAACUCUGAAAAAAGAAUAUGAAAAAACCUUUAAAAAGUACCAGGGUCUGGUUGUCAAGCAAGAGCAGCUACUUCGAGUUGCCCUUUAUUUGCUGUUGAAUCUUGCGGAAGACACUCGCACUGAGCUGAAGAUGAGAAACAAGAAUAUUGUCCACAUGCUGGUGAAAGCUCUGGACCGAGAUAACUUUGAGCUGCUGAUCCUGGUUGUGUCAUUUCUGAAGAAACUCAGCAUCUUCAUGGAAAACAAAAAUGACAUGGUUGAAAUGGAUAUUGUUGACAAAUUGGUGAAAAUGGUACCAUGUGAACAUGAAGACCUGCUGAACAUCACCCUUCGACUUUUGUUGAAUCUUUCCUUUGACACAGGGUUGCGAAACAAGAUGGUGCAAGUUGGGCUUCUUCCCAAACUCACUGCAUUGUUGGGAAAUGAAAACUAUAAACAAGUAGCCAUGUGUAUUCUCUAUCACAUAAGCAUGGAUGACCGCUUUAAAUCAAUGUUUGCAUACACAGACUGCAUACCACAGUUAAUGAAGAUGCUAUUUGAGUGCCCUGAUGAACGUGUUGAUCUGGAGUUAAUUUCCUUCUGCAUUAACCUGGCUGCUAACAAGAGAAAUGUGCAACUGAUUUGUGAAGGAAAUGGGCUGAAGAUGCUGAUGAAGAGAGCACUGAAAUUCAAAGACCCAUUAUUGAUGAAGAUGAUUAGGAACAUUUCUCAGCAUGAUGGACCAACCAAAACUUUAUUUAUCGAUUAUGUUGGUGACCUUGCUGCCCAGAUUUCUAAUGAUGAAGAGGAAGAAUUUGUGAUAGAAUGUUUAGGAACACUGGCCAAUUUGACUUUGCCUGAUCUGGAUUGGGAACUUGUGUUGAAAGAGUACAAAAUGGUACCAUAUCUUAAAGAUAAACUAAAGCCAGGUUCUGCAGAAGAUGACCUUGUUUUGGAAGUUGUGAUAAUGAUUGGAACCGUAUCAAUGGAUGAUUCUUGUGCUGCACUGCUAGCUAAAUCCGGGAUUAUUCCAGCACUUAUUGAACUGCUAAAUGCUCAGCAGGAAGAUGAUGAGUUUGUGUGCCAAAUCAUUUAUGUGUUUUAUCAGAUGGUCUUCCACCAAGCCACUAGAGAUGUCAUCAUCAAGGAGACUCAGGCUCCAGCAUAUCUUAUAGACUUGAUGCAUGAUAAAAAUGCUGAGAUCCGUAAAGUCUGUGACAAUACACUGGAUAUAAUAGCAGAAUAUGAUGAAGAGUGGGCUAAGAAGAUCCAGAGUGAGAAGUUCCGAUGGCACAACUCUCAGUGGCUGGAAAUGGUGGAGAGUCGGCAGAUGGAUGAAAAUGAACAGUACUUGUAUGGGGAUGACCGCAUUGAGCCCUACAUUCAUGAAGGGGACAUUCUAGAAAGACCUGAUCUUUACUACAAUGCAGAUGGGCUGAUAGCACAUGAUGGAGCAGUGAGUCCUGAUUUCUUCAGUGAUUAUCAUCUUCAGAAUGGUGACCUUGUGAGCCAGCAUCCUUUCUCUACCAGGCUGUUCCUAUGAACAAGUAGCCAGCAAAGUACCUGCUCACGAGAGCAGUCUACUUACAUGAACGUGUUGCAAUGGAUGGAUUUGGACAGCCCAUCGGUAUCCCAAACCGCCCCACCACUGCUUAUGGAUUUCGCUCAGACGAACCUUACUACUACAGUUUAGGAGCUCGAUAAAGCUACCUGCUUUAUUAGACUACUAACUUCCUGUAUCCUCGAGAAAUUGUAGCUGAAUUAAGACUUUUUUUCUUAGUAAUGCAUGAUGCUACUGUUUACAGGUCUGCGUGGUACAUUUCCUUUUGUUCUGUGUUGUUUCAGAGAUAUUAGUCAUUCAGUGACUUUUCACUCCACACUUCUUUUUUUGGUACAGUUUUUGCCAAAUGUUGGUAGUGUUAAAUAGAAAAUCAACCCUGUUAUUUAGAUUAAGCAGCUAACUUAAUUUCUAUUAAAAGCAGAUUCUGCAUUUCAUGGUACUGAAGGCUCAAGCUCCAUGAGUUUAACUGAACUUGCUACAUUGUUUAUGAGCAAUAAUUUAAUCCACUUGUGAAAAUGUAACUGGUUAUCUCUUUUUAAUGGCCUUGAAAAAAACCUGAAUAAUAUUCUUAGAUCCAGAGCCAGGCCUCCCCUUCCUUUGAGACUUUUCUCAAACAAAACACACACUUAUUGCACGUGUUGGAGGUGAUGAUAUGUUGUAUUGAUGUCAUUACAUAGUUGUUAUACAGAUGUCCAUAUGCAUUGAUGACUUUAACUGUGGUUAAUAAAUCCUUCAAACGGUGUGAUACUGUUUGAAAAUUACAGUACAUGAGAAA